UAGGUUCAUUAGUGCCUGCUGCCGGCUGGGUGGGAGGGGGGCCAGCGCCCUCAGCGCAGCCCCCCGGGGACCUGCGGCCUCCGUCCAUCAGGGCAGACGGGAGCAGAGAUCUCAUCGGGGAACACAAAUAGUCCCCGAGGCGUCCCGUUUCAUCUCUUCAGGGUUUUAACGGGGCGCUGCUGCCGGGAACUGAGGUUUCCGAGCCGCUCACCACCACGUGCUAACUGACACUCUCCACCCGCUAAGGAUGCUCUCUCCUUUAUUUUUUAUUUUUAUUUUUUUGAAGGAGUCUGCUCUUCUCUCUGUUCUGUGAAUGACCCCCAGGUUCCGAGGCCCCUCAGACUACAAGCCAGCCAGGCUCCAGGGACCCUUCCCACCUCGAGCCCACCAGAACCGACCCCUGGGAUCCUCCCUUCUUGCCUGGCCCACCCUCGUGGCGGCCGACCCCCAGCCCCAAACACGGGGCCCCGGCCAGGCGGGCUCCGGUCCAGGUCCCCCACCAGUCCAGAAUCCUCAGAACCUGCCGGGAAGGGAGAAGACGCAGACUUGGCACGGUUUUGGAGGUACUCGGUGAGAUUGUGAAGACCUGCCCAGCGCGAGGGCCUCACGCCUGUCCUGGGGGCGCCUCCUGUACAAGCUCAGGGGCACAGCGCCCUCCAGAAGCCACCGAUGUCACCACACGUCCUGCCUGCGUCUGGCCUUGGCAUGGGGACCUGUGUCCAGGGCAGAGACCCCAGCCAGUCUCCUGCUCAGAUAGGCAGAGCUGUCACCUCCAAAGGACACUCGCGGCCGCUGUCCUAGUGUGCGGGUGGCCCCGCUCCCACUCAGGGGGGGCUCGGAGUUUCCUGCUGGGGGGCUGGGGGAGGGGCAGCGGCACCCGGGUACCGCUUCCUUCCUGAGGCGCCGUCCAUCGGCCUCACGGCUGUGGAAGGGUGCCCGUGUACGGGCCCGAGAGAAGCCUGGGGCCAAGUCUGGGACCCUGCACCCCGUGGGCCCCCAGGCCUCCCUGCCGUCGGGGGCUCCGGCCAGCCCACCCUCUGCCCUGGCGCCCCACAAAGCCCUUGAGUGGACCAGGCCCAAGCCCUGUAGGAGCCUCCGGGGCCGGGACCCGCACCAG
rnacentral:lncRNA from 1 species